rnacentral:rRNA from 1 species
CCCUUAGAUGUUCUGGGCUGCACGCGCGCUGCACUGAAGCGUUCAACGAGUAUUCACCUUGCCCGGGAGGGUUGGGUAAUCUUUUGAAAACGCUUCGUGAUGGGGAUAGAUUAUUGCAAUUAUUAAUCUUCAACGAGGAAUUCCUAGUAAGCGCGAGUCAUCAGCUCGUGCUGAUUACGUCCCUGCCCUUUGUACACACCGCCCGUCGCUCCUACCGAUUGAAUGGUCCGGUGAAGCGUUCGGACCGUGGCCUUUGGACGGUUCGCCGUCUGUUGGCUGCGGGAAGUUCGUUAAACCUUAUCAUUUAGAGGAAGGAGAAGUCGUAACA